UUGUUCAACAGUAAAAUUUAGUAAAAUUUCUUGUUGUUAAAUACAAACUAUUAAACAAAUAUUUAACAGCGAAUUGGCUGUACAAUGUGCUCACGGAUCUGUACAAAACAUCCACAUAGCCAAAUGUGUUAGAUUAUGACUCUCCUCCUCCACAUAA